rnacentral:misc_RNA from 1 species
AACGCACAUUGCGCCCUCUGGUAUUCCGGGGGGCAUGCCUGUUCGAGCGUCAUUACAACCCUCAAGCUCUGCUUGGUAUUGGGCAUCACUAUUCUGUAGUGUGUCUUAAAAUCAGUGGCGGUGCCAUCUGGCUUCAAGCGUAGUAAUUCUUCUCGCUUCUGGAGCCUGGUGAACACUUGCCAGCAACCCCAAUUUUCUCAGGUUGACCUCGGAUCAGGUAGGGAUACCCGCUGAACUUAA